rnacentral:rRNA from 1 species
UACGAAGGGGGCUAGCGUUGCUCGGAUUUACUGGGCGUAAAGGGCGCGUAGGCGGUGUGUCAAGUCAGGCGUGAAAGCCCCGGGCUCAACCUGGGAACCGCGCUUGAGACUGGCACGCUCGAGUUCGGGAGAGGAUGGUGGAAUUCCCAGUGUAGAGGUGAAAUUCGUAGAUAUUGGGAAGAACACCGAUGGCGAAGGCAGCCAUCUGGACCGACACUGACGCUGAGGCGCGGAAAGCGUGGGGAGCAAACAGG